rnacentral:rRNA from 1 species
GACGAACGCUGGCGGCGUGCUUAACACAUGCAAGUCGAACGGAAGGGCCCUGCUUGCAGGGUACUCGAGUGGCGAACGGGUGAGUAACACGUGGGUGAUCUGCCCUGCACUUCGGGAUAAGCCUGGGAAACUGGGUCUAAUACCGGAUAGGAGCCAUUUUUAGUGUGAUGGUUGGAAAGUUUUUUCGGUGUAGGAUGAGCUCGCGGCCUAUCAGCUUGUUGGUGGGGUAAUGGCCUACCAAGGCGGCGACGGGUAGCCGGCCUGAGAGGGUGGACGGCCACAUUGGGACUGAGAUACGGCCCAGACUCCUACGGGAGGCAGCAGUGGGGAAUAUUGCACAAUGGGCGCAAGCCUGAUGCAGCGACGCCGCGUGGGGGAUGACGGCCUUCGGGUUGUAAACUCCGUUCGCUAGGGACGAAGCUUUUUGUGACGGUACCUAGAUAAGAAGCACCGGCUAACUACGUG